CCAAGGAUCGCAGACAGGCUCUGUAUUACCGCUUCUGUGGCCUGUUUCCUGGAGGACCACCUUGUGGCUGAUAGGCUUUUCAGCCUGAGAACGGUCCAGCUGCAUGUUUUCCUGUUCCUCCUCAAAUAUUUUAAUCCUUGGGAGGCUAGAAGUCAAAAAGCAGUGUACCCCAAAAAUCUUUUGCGCUAUUCAAGGAACAUGCAGCAUCCAUCAGAACGAAUUUGAUGUCGUGUGCACAGAAAUGCACGUCGAACUCAUCAUCAAGCGUUGAUUAUUUGAAACAGCUGUGUAGUACUAAGGAAAACAACGAAACCACUUGUGUUUCCCAGGACCGGAGGGAAAUGCUGCCAUCACGGAAAAAACAACGAAACCACUUGUGUUUCCCAGGACCGGAGGGAAAUGCUGCCAUCACGGAAAUGAGUGAUUUUUCUUUUUGAAGGAUAAUGCCCCCGUGCACAAAGCGAGGUCCAUACAGAAAUGGCUUGUCAAGAUCGGAGUGGAAUAACUUGACUGGUCUGCACAGAGCCGUGACCUCAACCCCAUCGAACACCUUUGGGAUGAAUUGGAACGUCGACUGGGAGCCAGGCCUAAUCGCCCCCAACAUCAGUGCCCUAGCACACAAAUACCCAUGGCUGAAUGGAAGCAAGUCCCUGCAGCAAUGUUCCAACAUCUAGUGGAAAGCCUUCCCAGAAGAGUGGAGGCUGUUAUAGCAGCAAAGGGGGGGGACCAACCUCAUAUUAAUGCCCAUGAUUUUGGAAUGAGAGGUUCUACGAGCAGGUGUCCACAUAUUUUUGGCCCUUUAGUGUAUCACUGUGCACCUAUAAUGGAACAUAUUGACUGUACUGUCAAACAAAGCUGCCAGGUCUGAUUACAGGGUGUUAAACUUCCUGUGGAAUGGUUGAGGCUCCCAGGUGCUGAUGGUAGAGGUCUGCUGCUUCCAAAGAUUCUGGCAGUAGCUCUUCAGAAAUGAUCUUCUUGCUCGCAACUUGGGCCAGCAGAUUUGGAAUUCCUUUGCCUUUUAAAUAAGUGGUAUGAAUGAGUAAUAUGUACCAAAACAUCAAAACAAUUACAAAUGAACCAAUAUAAGUUACAUCCCAGAUGAUACAGAUACUCUGACGUUCUAAGUGAAUGAACAAAGCUUUCAGUCAGGUUUUAAUCCAGAAAGUCUUUAAUGAUUCAAGUUUGGAGUUCAAUACAGACAUUGACCCUAAGUCUUUGCUGCUCAGGAUGUGUGAGAAAAAUAUUUGUAAUUUAUUUUUAGACCAAGGUUUAAAUUCCGGAGGAGUUUGAAAAGGAAACAUUUGUC
ensembl:lncRNA